AUGAUGAUAUGCUGCCAUGUGCUAAAGAUCAUGGAUAUACUUCAUCUAGAGGAGAUUCAUGUGAAGCAUAUUGUGAAACGGUGGACCAAGGAUGCGAGGGACAUACUUCCCAAGCACCUGAUUCAUUACCAGAAGGAUCAUUCAGUCAACAUGUCUUUCACCUGCAGGUACUCAACACUUUAUUUGAAAGCUAUGGAUGUCGUGCGGAUGGGCCAUGCAAGUGCAGAAUCAUUCAAGGAUGUGUUUGCUGGUCUGGAUGCUUUUUUAGUGAGUGGCGCACCAUUAGCAGAGAAGAGGAACGGUUUGGGUUCCGAGGACAGCUUGGCAAACUUGCCCGCUGGGAGAUUGCAUGGAAAUGGAGAGGUUGCCUUUGUUGGUGGCAAUGAUGCUGACCAUAGGGAUAGUGGUGGCCAAGGACUAGCACCUCCGGGCAAGCAGAGAGGGGCCGGGAGGCCGACGAACAGCAAGGGAAAACGCCUUGCGAGUGUCUGA
rnacentral:rRNA from 1 species